rnacentral:rRNA from 1 species
AUUGAACGCUGGCGGCAGGCCUAACACAUGCAAGUCGAACGAGGGGCGGACGGGUGAGUAAUGUCUGGGAAACUGCCUGAUGGAGGGGGAUAACCACUGGAAACGGUAGCUAAUACCGCAUACCAUCGGAUGUGCCCAGAUGGGGUUCGCUAGUUGGUGGGGUAACGGCUCACCAAGGCGACGAUCCCUAGCUGGUCUGAGAGGAUGAACGGCCACACUGGAACUGAGACACGGUCCAGGCUCCUACGGGAGGCAGCAGUGGGGAAUAGUGGACAAUGGGCGAAAGCCGGAUGCAGCCAUGCGGCGUGUAUGAAGAAGGCCGUCGGGUUGUAAAGUACUUUCAGCGGGGAGGCGUUACCCGCAGAAGAAGCACCGGCUAACUCCGUGCCAGCAGCCGCGGUAAUUC